GAUGAACGCUGGCGGCGUGCCUAAUACAUGCAAGUCGAACGAGUGGCGGACGGGUGAGUAAUGUCUGGGAAACUGCCCGAUGGAGGGGGAUAACUACUGGAAACGGUAGCUAAUACCGCAUACCAUCGGAUGUGCCCAGAGGGGAUUAGCUAGUAGGUGGGGUAACGGCUCACCUAGGCGACGAUCCCUAGCUGGUCUGAGAGGAUGACCAGCCACACUGAAACUGAGGCACGGUCCAGACUCCUACGGGAGGGAGCAGUGGGGAGGAUUGCACAAUGGGCGCGAACCUGAUGGAGCCAUGCCGCGUGGAUGAAGGAGGCCUUCGGGUUGUAAAGUACUUUCAGCGGGGAGGCGUUAACCGCAGAAGAAGCACCGGCUAACUCCGUGCCAGCAGCCGCGGUAAUAC
rnacentral:rRNA from 1 species